rnacentral:rRNA from 1 species
UACGUAGGGGGCAAGCGUUGUCCGGAUUCACUGGGCGUAAAGCGCGUGUAGGCGGCGCGUCAAGUCGGGUGUGAAAGCCCGGGGCUCAACCCCGGGAUGCCGCUCGAACUGGCGCGCUUGAGGACGGAAGAGGGAGUGGAACUGCGAGUGUAGAGGUGAAAUUCGUAGAUAUUCGCAAGAACACCAGUGGCGAAGGCGGCUGGACUGGUCCGGUUCUGACGCUGAGGCGCGAAAGCGUGGGGAGCAAACAGG